rnacentral:rRNA from 1 species
AUUGAACGCUGGCGGCGUGCCUAACACAUGCAAGUCGAGCGGUAACAGGUGUAGCAAUACAUGCUGACGAGCGGCGAACGGGUGAGUAAUGCUUCGGAAUCUACCCAAUGGUGGGAUACCAGCCGAAAGGUUGGCUAAUACCGCAUACGUCCCACGGGACGAAAGCAGGGGAUCGCAAGACCUUGCGCCAAUGGAUGAGCCGAAGUCGGAUUAGCUAGUUGGAGGGUAACGGCCUACCAA